rnacentral:rRNA from 1 species
GAUGAACGCUGGCGGCGUGCCUAAUACAUGCAAGUCGAGCGAACAGACGAGGAGCUUGCUCCUCUGACGUUAGCGGCGGACGGGUGAGUAACACGUGGAUCACCUACCUAUAAGACUGGGAUAACUUCGGGAAACCGGAGCUAAUACCGGAUAAUAUAUUGAACCGCAUGGUUCAAUAGUGAAAGACGGUUUUGCUGUCACUUCUAGAUGGUUCCGGGCCGCAAGAGCUAGUUGGUAAGGUAACGGCGUACCAAGGCGACGAUGCGUAGCCGAACUGAGAGGGUGAUCGGCCACACUGGAACUGAGACACGGUCCAGACUCCUACGGGAGGCAGCAGUAGGGAAUCUUCCGCAAUGGGCGAAAGCCUGACGGAGCAACGCCGCGUGAGUGAUGAAGGUCUUCGGAUCGUAAAACUCUGUUAUUAGGGAAGAACAAAUGUGUAAGUAACUAUGCACGUCUUGACGGUACCUGAUAAGAAAGCCACGGCUAACUACGUG